rnacentral:rRNA from 1 species
CACGUAGAAGACUAGUGUUAUUCAUCUUUAUUAGGUUUAAAGGGUACCUAGACGGGAAAUCAAGCCAUAACAGGGACUAAUUUUCUAGAGUUUUAUGAGAGAAGGGGCGAAUUUCUGGAGGAAGUUGAUAUUUUGUGAUACUGGAAGGACGGGUAACAGCGAAGGCAACCUUUAUGUAAAAACUUGACGUUGAGGGACGA